CCCCAUGUGGCCUAGUGGCUAUGGCAUUGGAUUUGAAAUCCAGAGACCUGACUUGGCCACUAAUGUGCUGUCUGACCGUGGGGA
rnacentral:tRNA from 1 species